rnacentral:Y_RNA from 1 species
GGCUGGUCUGAUGGUAGCGGGUUAUCAGAUUUUAAUUAGUGUCAGUGUCACUAAAGCUGGUAUACAACUCCCCAUACUAAAUUUGACUGGCUUUAA